rnacentral:rRNA from 1 species
AACGAACGCUGGCGGCAUGCCUAACACAUGCAAGUCGAACGAGACCUUCGGGACUAGUGGCGCACGGGUGCGUAACGCGUGGGAAUCUACCCUCAGGUUCGGAAUAACUCAGAGAAAUUUGAGCUAAUACCGGAUGAUGACGUAAGUCAAAAGAUUUAUCGCCUGAGGAUGAGCCCGCGUAGGAUUAGGUAGUUGGUGAGGUAAAGGCUCACCAAGCCGACGAUCCUUAGCUGGUCUGAGAGGAUGAUCAGCCACACUGGGACUGAGACACGGCCCAGACUCCUACGGGAGGCAGCAGUGGGGAAUAUUGGACAAUGGGCGAAAGCCUGAUCCAGCAAUGCCGCGUGAGUGAUGAAGGCCUUAGGGUUGUAAAGCUCUUUUACCCGGGAUGAUAAUGACAGUACCGGGAGAAUAAGCUCCGGCUAACUCCGUG